GACGAACGCUGGCGGCGUGCCUAAUACAUGCAAGUUGAGCGCUGAAGGUUGGUACUUGUACCAACUGGAUGAGCAGCGAACGGGUGAGUAACGCGUGGGGAAUCUGCCUUUGAGCGGGGGACAACAUUUGGAAACGAAUGCUAAUACCGCAUAAAAACUUUAAACACAAGUUUUAAGUUUGAAAGAUGCAAUUGCAUCACUCAAAGAUGAUCCCGCGUUGUAUUAGCUAGUUGGUGAGGUAAAGGCUCACCAAGGCGAUGAUACAUAGCCGACCUGAGAGGGUGAUCGGCCACAUUGGGACUGAGACACGGCCCAAACUCCUACGGGAGGCAGCAGUAGGGAAUCUUCGGCAAUGGACGAAAGUCUGACCGAGCAACGCCGCGUGAGUGAAGAAGGGUUUCGGAUCGUAAAACUCUGUUGGUAGAGAAGAACGUUGGUGAGAGUGGAAAGCUCAUCAAGUGACGGUAACUACCCAGAAAGGGACGGCUAACUACGUG
rnacentral:rRNA from 1 species